ACUCCUACGGGAGGCAGCAGUGGGGAAUAUUGCACAAUGGGCGCAAGCCUGAUGCAGCCAUGCCGCGUGUGUGAAGAAGGCCUUCGGGUUGUAAAGCACUUUCAGUUGUGAGGAAGGUGGUGUCGUUAAUAGCGGCAUCAUUUGACGUUAGCAACAGAAGAAGCACCGGCUAACUCCGUGCCAGCAGCCGCGGUAAUACGGAGGGUGCGAGCGUUAAUCGGAAUUACUGGGCGUAAAGCGCAUGCAGGUGGUUGUUAAGUCAGAUGUGAAAGCCCGGGGCUCAACCUCGGAACUGCAUUUGAAACUGGCAGACUAGAGUACUGUAGAGGGGGGUAGAAUUUCAGGUGUAGCGGUGAAAUGCGUAGAGAUCUGAAGGAUACCGGUGGCGAAGGCGGCCCCUGGACAGAUACUGACACUCAGAUGCGAAAGCGUGGGGAGCAAACAGGAUUAGAUACCCUGGUAGCACAGAG
rnacentral:rRNA from 1 species